rnacentral:lncRNA from 1 species
AUGGAACAAGAAGUGAAUACUCUAUUAAGGAAGGAGGCCAUCGAGGUGGUCCCUCCUCUAGACAGGGAAUCCGGAUUUUACAGCCGGUAUUUCAUAGUUCCAAAGAAGGAUGGGGGGUUGCGUCCGAUCAUAGACUUACGUCACCUGAACCGCUCAGUUAUGUCACUGAAGUUCAAAAUGCUCACUAUCAAGCAGGUUGUAGCUCAAAUCAGAUCCGAGGACUGGUUUGUCACAAUAGAUCUCAAAGACGCAUACUUCCACAUAUCCAUCCUUCCACAACACAGGAAGUUUCUGAGGUUCGCUUUCGGGGGCAAAGCUUAUCAAUAUCGAGUACUUCCCUUCGGCCUUGCACUCUCACCCCGCACGUUCACGAAAUGUGUAGAUGCGGCUCUGGUAUCCCUCCGUAUGCAGGGCAUCCGCAUUCUAAAUUAUAUCGACGAUUGGUUGAUCUUAGCUCAAUCAGAGCAGAUGGUGGUUCGACAUCGAGAUGUCGUUCUCGCACACAUGGGGGAGCUGGGUUUGAGACUAAAUGCCAAGAAAAGUGUACUUUCUCCAGUUCAGAGAACCACCUAUCUAGGCGUAGUGUGGGAUUCGACCACGAUGCAGGCACGUCUGUCUCCUGCUCGGAUCGAGUCGAUCCUCACAUCAGUCAAGAGAGUCAAAGAAGGCCAGUCACUCACUGUCAAACAAUUCCAGAGAUUGUUAGGGCUGAUGGCAGCUGCGUCCAACGUGAUACCUUUUGGCCUGCUGCACAUGAGACCCCUACAGUGGUGGCUCAAGUCCAAGGGCUUUUCCCCGAGGGGAAAUCCACUUCGAGUUAUCAAGGUCACGCGGCGAUGCCUUCGUGCCUUAGACAUGUGGAAGAAACCUUGGUUCUUGAAUCAGGGCCCGGUGCUGGGAGCUCUUCGUCGCCGUGUAACGCUAGCGACAGACGCGUCCCUCACUGGUUGGAGUGCGGUCAUGAGUGGCCACUCUGCCCGCGGUCUGUGGAGUGGUCGCCAUCUGACAUGGCACAUCAAUUGCCUAGAGAUGUUAGCAGUCUAUCGAGCAUUAAAAUAUUUCCUCCCAGACCUGAGAGGUCACCAUGUGUUGGUGCGCACCGACAACACAUCAGUGGUCUCUUAUAUCAAUCACCAGGGGGGUCUGCGUUCACGCCCAUUGUACAAGCUGGCAUACCAGAUCCUUCUCUGGUCCCAGGGCAAACUCCUCUCGAUCAGAGCAGUGUAUAUUCCUGGGAGAUUGAAUGUGGGAGCAGACAUACUGUCGAGGCAGGGGCCGAGGCCCGGGGAAUGGAUGCUUCACCCCGAGGUGGUGAAGCAGAUAUGGAGAGUGUUUGGCACAGCCCAGGUGGACCUCUUUGCGACUCAGGAGACAUCGCAAUGUCCCCUCUGGUUCUCUCUAGUUCAUCCAGCUCCUCUGGGACUGGACGCUAUGGUACAGACCUGGCCGAGGCUUCGUCUGUACACAUUUCCCCCUAUUGAUCUGCUCCCGGGAGUUCUGGCGAGAGUACGCCAGGAUGGGGUCCGUCUGUUGUUAGUAGCCCCGUUCUGGCCGGGCCAAGUAUGGUUCUCAGAUCUAGUCUCGCUCCUCGACGGCUCUCCGUGGGAGAUACCCAUCAGGACAGACCUACUCUCACAGGCGCAGGGCACGAUAAUUCACCCUCGCCCGGAGUCGUUCAAGCUGUGGGUGUGGCCCCUGAGGGGGCACAACUGUUAG